CGUGCUGUCUUCCACAGCAACAGGGCUGCGUGCUUAAUGCAAAUGAAACCUAUUGAUUAUGAGACUGUUAUUUCUGAGUGUACUUUGGCACUCCAAGUACAGCCUCUGUUCGUAAGGGCUCUCCUUAGGAGGGCUCGUGCUUUUGAAGCGAUUGGGAAGUAUGACAUGGCGAUGCAGGAUGUUCAGGUAUUGUUAGGAGCUGAACCAGAACACCGAGAUGCUUUGGAGAUUGCCCGGAGAUUGAGAACUGCAUUCGGUCCUCGCCAAGAGGCUCAGCAGGACCUCCAAAGCCGCCCUUCUCCUGCUGCACUAGGGGCAUCUGCAGUCCGUGGUGCACCAAUUGCUGGCCUUGGGCCUUGUUUACCAGCCCGGCCGGUCUCCAAGAAGGCAGCAACUCCACCUGGGUUAUUGGCUGUGUCAGCCACUAAUAAGCUGGAAAAGCCUCAAGUGAAUGUGGUCGGUGAAAAUGAUCCUGAGACCAAAACCCAGUUGUCAAAACUUGGGUUGAAGCCUUCAAGUGGUUCUUCCAAACUGGCCACAAAUCUGGCCAAGGAUAGCCAAGGAGAAGAAUCUUCAUCAGUCUCAUUGCCCAUUCGUGGUAAUGUUCUGGAGGUGGCAGUUCGAUGGAGACCAUUGA
rnacentral:misc_RNA from 1 species